rnacentral:rRNA from 1 species
CAGCUAGUUGGUGAGGUAACGGCCCACCAAGGCUAAGAUCGGUAGCCGGCCUGAGAGGGCACACGGCCACACUGGCACUGAAACACGGGCCAGACUCCUACGGGAGGCAGCAGUGGGGAAUCUUGCACAAUGGGGGCAACCCUGAUGCAGCGACGCCGCGUGGGCGAUGAAGCCCUUCGGGGUGUAAAGCUCUUUCGGCAGGGAAGAAUCAUGACGGUACCUGCAGAAGCAGCUGCGGCUAACUACGUGCCAGCAGCCGCGGUAAUACGUAGGCAGCGAGCGUUGUUCGGAGUUACUGGGCGUAAAGGGUGUGUAGGCGGUCCUCUAAGUUUGGUGUGAAAUCUCCCGGCUCAACCGGGAGGGUGCGCCGAAAACUGGGGGACUAGAGUGCGGGAUGGGAAAGUGGAAUUCCUGGUGUAGCGGUGAAAUGCGUAGAUAUCAGGAGGAACACCGGUGGUGUAGACGGCUUUCUGGACCGUAACUGACGCUGAGACACGAAAGCGUGGGUAGCAAACAGGAUUAGAUACCCUGGUAGUCCACGCCCUAAACGAUGCAUAUUUGGUGUAGGUCAUUCAGUUGAUCUGUGCCGGAGCUAACGCGUUAAAUAUGCCGCCUGGGGAGUACAGUCGCAAGGCUGAAACUCAAAGGAAUUGACGGA